UUUCGGCCCGGAGUUCCGUUACCCAGAAGGUUGCGCGGCGCGGGGGGGGGGGGCGGUGCUGGAGGUCUAUGGCGGAGCGGGGCGGUCGCUGUUCACCUACUAGCCCGGCUGGCGGGGUCCCGGGGGCGGCCCGGAGCAGGUGUGUCACCUCUGCUCGCCCUUCUGCAGUCUGGAUGUGCUGUGGCUGUGGCAGAAGAGCUCCCCGCCACCUCAGGCCCUGCGCGCUCCCUCCGCCGCUCGGUCGCAUGGCGCCAUCUUGAGUGUGGAAGUACGGCGGGUUGUGGCGGAGGGCCGGCCUGGGGCCGGGGAGCGGGCACUGGCUGCGCAGUCGGCGCGCCUAGGUAUUGGCAGUGCUUGGGAAAAGUGGCCUGGCCUCUGUCUACUGAGAAUUGCUACUGGCAGUGCGCCUUUAAGAUAGGGCCUGGAAGCCCUGUGUCAGAGCUCGGAGAUGUGAGGGGAGAUGUGCAGCGUAAGUGCGUUCCUGCGCUAUGUAUAUACACAGAUAAUAUUGAGAGCUUACGGAAAUACUUUUAUCAAGUCUUUCUGACAUUGUACAGGCUUUGCCUUCAUAAGAAUUCCUGGAGCAUGUGAUCUGUAUUACAUGAGGACUGCAAGACCUAAUUACAUAGUUCUACUUUGUACUGCCAUUAAUACUUACGUGCUUUGCAAACUAGUGAGUGAACUAACGUUACAUAUUCUGUAUGUGUGGGAAACAUUCAUCUUGCUCAUAAGAAAAUGUGGAAAAAGUGGUGCCUUGGUGCUCUGGUCUGUAACAUGUAGAUGUGCCUUGUGCCUUGCCAUUCAGGCCACCCUGAGCAGACAGCUGUUGUAAAGGACUGGAAGAGUACAGUCUGGUGUUAGUAGCUGGACUAUACAGAUGUUCAAGUUUUUUCUAAUACUGUGCUGAGCAGUCUGGCUAAAUUCACUGAAAAGAUUCAGGCAGUUAAAAAUGCCUUCAAGCAUUUUAGUUCUGUUCCUUCCAGGGCUGACAGCAUGUCUUGAAGGUGUUUUACAUCUGCAGACAUGUAGUUUUCCAAUAAUAAACCAGUAGCAGGUUCACCCUGAGUACAUAGUAUUGGACGUGAAGAGUUGGACUCGGUAGGUAUGCUCAAGACACAUUUUUCCUGAACAGUCAAGCAGAGGAGUUUUGGUUGGCUGGCUGUUCAUACUACCUCUGGUCCGCAGAUCAAGUAUGCAGAAGCACUGUAAGAAGUUGGUGAUUGACCUUUGUUAACAGAUGGUAGCUUUGUAACUAAAAACAUAAAUUACUGGCAGGUUUGACCCUCAACCUGUGCUUUAGUGAGAUUUUUGGUUAGAGGUUUUUGAUUGCACUCCUUGCUGUUUGCAUGUCUGCAGUUAGAUGCAUUCAUCUGAGUAAUUGUGUGUUUGCUUUUGAAUCUGUGUUUUUUCCCAGUUCGAAGCAGGGAGUUGGGCACAGGUCCUGAGUGCACAUCUUGGGGCUCUGUGCUGGUAGCUCUACAGUCAGUCCGUGCUGGUCACAUCAAGGCAGUAGGUACUGCAUAGUAAAUAAACAAGCAGAUAUACCCACAAAAUAAUUAUUUGUGCUUCAUACAACAUCCUUGCAUGGCCAGAGAGGAAAGGAGAGCAUUAACUGAAUGGUGAGAAUGCUCAAAAUGGAGCAUGGGGGAGUAGUCCUGCAGGCACCAACAGCCCUGAAUUGCCCUGCCUCACCUGGGACCCCCACCCACACCCUCUGUGCAUGUUGGUCCUGUAGCUCCGCCUAGAGGCCCUUGGUCCUUCUGUGAGCUGUGUUGGAGAUGGACCUGCCCUCAUGCUGUGUGCUGCUGUUGCUGACUGACUGGCUGGACUUCAUCGCCUGGCCUUGAACUUGAGUAAUCACCUUGCAGUUGUCUGACAGUGACUGGGCAGCAGUCACUGGGCUGCUGACAGCUCUGGUUACCAUCACUAUCCCUGCACUCCAUGUGGAGGUUGCUAUCCCUGCCUGUGUUACAGUUGCCCUUGGCUUCUGCCUUGUCCUCUCAUGGAGCGCCCCUGUCCUUGGCUUCUCCCUGGCAAGUAGACUCAAAUACCUGAUGCUGAACAAACCUUAGGGUAUUCUUCCACAAACUGGAGAUCCAAAUUUGGGUCUCUAUUUCUAAACUUAGAAGAUAAGCUAUCGAAUUGGCUUCUUGCCUCCAAGGUCAGUGAGCUUGCCCUGACUUUAAUGAGAAGAGUUGCAUGGCUGACUGAGCCCUUUCCUCUACCCUUUAGUUACUUAACACACAUACAGCUCUCCCCUUUUGUGUUUCCUGCUGGCUGUGAAUUCUGCCUCUAGGUGCUUAUGUGCUUCACUGAAGAAGUGUGAGCAAAUCCUCCUGCAGUGGUUUCAGCUAGUAGAGGUAGGACUCGUCGCUCUUCUGUUGGUCCUCCACAGUGUUUCCAGAAGGGAGCACCCAGCUAGGUCUGUGGUGACUGCUUCCCAUGCCUAACCUGGUUAGGUGACCAGUGAAGGUAGGUUUGAAAUUAUAAGGGCGAGCAGGGGCCACAAAAUCCACAGGAAUAGGUACACCCCCUAUGUUCUCUGCAUCUAUAUUUGAUUAUUCCCAACCACUCUCAUUUGCAAGUGUAGGAAGGGAGAGUGACUUACCAUUUACAGUCCUCAGUCUUUGUAGUGAUAUUAUACUUUGCACUAUACCGUUAAGAUCUUCAGGGCAGAAGAACUCCAAGCAGAUCAUUCCCUAGUGCAGCCUGUGCUGUUCUUAAUGAGAUGCUAUGGCAUAAGCUCUGCUCCAGAAACCAAAAUGCCGCUGUUUGUAAAUUUAGUAAACUGGCAGUAGUGCUCGUAUUGCACAUGAAAUGGAGAUGCCAGGAGUUCAAAACUGAAAGGACAGGCUCAAAUAAUAAUAGCUAGAAAUAAAUGAUUGUAGGUAUCAUAGCUUGUGACUCACAAACCCUUACAUUUUCAAAGCUGGCUAGACCCCUUCUAAAAUCACUUUUUAACAGAGUGGUUAAAUUAGAAUAUCACUAGCAUGUUCCUCAUGCUAUUUAUCAGCAGCUGAAUAAGGAAAAUAAUUGUUUAGUUGUGAGGAAUAUUUGAGGGCUUUAUUAUUAGCUAUAUCUUCAGCUUUUAAUUAAUUUUCAAACUCGUCUGUUGCUCUAUGAAAGCCAUUUGCGGGGCUGUCUGCCAGCCAUAUCUUCCCCUUGAGUGAUUAGGUUUCCUUUUCCCUUCCUAAUUUUAUUAGUAUUUGAAGCCAUUCUACUGUUCCCCUGUCCCAAGCCGAACUUGAGGGUGUCGGAGGUUACAGACCUCAUGCUGGCUGCUCAAAAUCAGAUCAAAUAUCAGAACUUUCUGAUGUAAAGCAACAAGCUGCUUUGUCAAUGAAAUUAAUUAAAAAAAUUAAAGGGUUAGUUUUGUUUAGGUACAUUUCAUGGAAUUUUAAGAGUUGUUUGUUCAUGUCACUGUUAGAGCAAAUUGUAUGGCACAAAAUCCGUGUGAAAAUGUAAAGCCAUAUUAAAAAUAUAGCAUGUCCUUCCCAAUUUGAUGAUUGGAAAUGUACUCCUGUGUACAUCUGGGUCAAACUGCUGGGAAGUACCUUACUCUAGCUCUGGUACAGUCACGGAAGUGUUGGCGAGGGAACCCUCCUGAGCCCUUCUCCCUGUGUCAGGGUUCUUUUUCCAAUGCUUUUAAAUUUUAAUUGCUGUUAAAUGCCUCGUAACCUUCCCAGGGCACUGUUGGGGACAUGUGGGAGCACGCAGAAAGUCAUUAAAUUGGUGGGAUUAGCCUGUCCAAUAAAAGCUGAGUAGUUGGAGGCAAUCUGCUGAAGAUGGUUUUAGAUAGCACAGCAAAAGCAAAGAGCAGUUCUAUAACACUGUUGUUUCUACUUUAAUCUGUAAUCAUGCAGUGAAGCCUUUUCUUUUAUUUUCAUGGUAAAUUUCAAUGCCUUUUUUUUGUGCAGAGAGAUGUAGUCUCUGGUGGCCCCCUUUCUCUGUGUUCCUGCUUUCCGCACAGCAAAGCACAGCCUGUACGUACCCUGUAGAAGCAUUAACUGGCUUUGAGGCAUGAUUAUGCUACACAAAGCAACACAGUGUUAAUGUAUAAGCUCGUAGUAAAGUGAUUUAAGAUCACACUAGAGUGGUCUGGGCUACUUGUGUGCCUCAGAGGUGCAUAAUUAGACAAGAUUGCUUUCUGCCUAGCCUGGAUAUCCCUGUGCUGCACCACUACAUGCAGUGUAAAUAUAAGCUAACAUGUUUUUACCAGCAAAACCCCUCUGUAAUAUUUAGCUUCAAAUACUGUUACAUUUAAAGUAAGAUCUAAUGAGUGUUUUCUGAUUGCAUUUCAAUUGUAUCUGUUUUUGUGCUUCCUAAUUCAAUUUGGAAGCGAGAGGACCAAAGAAUUAGUUUUGGAUGAAAUCUGGUUGAAUUUUUAGACACAAGAGGUACUGCUUAAUGACUUCAGUAAUACAUACAUUAAUAACUUGAACAAUAACUUGAAACAGUGUUGGUUGAAUUCUUAGACCUAGAUUUAAGUUAAAUAUUCAUAAUUCUUCCUUUGCCAUAUAUUUUUCCACUCUUCUCUCCCUCCCUCUUUCCUAAAGACCUCUGGUUUUGUUUUCUUUUGCUACAGAUGUCUGCUCCUAAAAGGCAUGGUGUUAUGCUAGACAGCAUUUGUUCUAAAGCUCAUUUGGAGCUCUGCUGUAUAGCAUCCUACAGUGUAGGAUUUAACAGUAAGAAUGCUUUUUUUGUUUUUCCUGUCCCUGAGAAGGUUCUUUAUAGCAGAAACAUCCCAUGUUUCAUGCAUAGUGUCAUGAUGACAAAUAGAGGUGUUCACUGAUGUAAAAAUAAAAUGAGAUGCAGUAGCACUGAAGUAAUUAAAAUGACUGUUUAGUUUCCAUGUGCAUUAGAAAGAUGAUUACAAAGACCCUGUACUCAACUGAGAUAGAAACAAUGCAACAGAUUCGUAGUUGCUCUAAAUAAAAAUUCUAUGUUACUGGUAAGAAAACUGGAAUCAGAUCGUAUGCACAGCAGUAUGAAAAAUAGAAUUUUACAUUUUUAAACUUAAAUUCAAAGUGCCAAAGAAUGACCCAAAACACUGAUUGCUAUAAAGAAAUUCUUUCUACCUGACCGGAGUAUAGGCUGCAUGUGAGAUGAAGGCAUAGCGAAAGAAAGGUAGGAGGCAGCCUGAAGUCUGUUCUUACUUACGCAAGGGUACCUUGUGUGACUAAAGCAGCUGCCUCGUGCUCUGUAGCUUUCUUCUCCACCUGGUAAGCUAUAAGGACAACUGUGUUUACCGUCUGCACAGAAGCUACAAGCAGAGUAAUGAGCAUGAUGGAAGACAGGAUCAGAAUUCAAAAUCAUGUUGAUCACUUGAUUAGGUGGUCUGGAAUCAGUGAUACAAACAAUGAAGACAAGUUGACUGCUUUAUUUCAUAGGAGAAAACUCAAAUGCAGAAAUGCAAUAUGGGAAGUAAGUGGAUAGAAAAUAUCAUUACAGAACAGAAGUUGGAGAUUACAAGGGACCAGAAGUAUGAAUCAUAGAAUCAUAGCAUCAUUUAGGUUGGAAAAGACAUUGAAGAUCAUAAAGUCCAACCAUUAACCUAGGGAUAUGAUGUAUUAGGAAGGGUGCAGACAUAUAAGGCAAGGAUGGACCUGUUGUGCUUGGUGCUGGUGAAGCUUGAGUGGCAUACUGUUUUGCAGAGCACAGUUUAAGGCAGGAAUAAAGAAACUGGAAAGACCUGGAGGGAAAAAAAAGGGAAAUUACAUCUUUCCUUAUAUAGCAUGUUUUUAAGCUUAAGGUGGCUGACCGGUAACAGUUUUCUGCUAUGUAAAAACUCUGAUGGACACUCAUCCAAGAAUAACAGCUUGGUCUGUAGAAAAGGGUAACCUGGACUGAAUAUGAAGACGACUGUAAGCUGAUCAAUAAGGCACUGUGGAAUGAUGUGUAUGGCUGCCAGUGGGCCCCAGGGCUGCCCAUUCUCUGUUGGGUUUCUUAUGUUGUGCUCCAGACCCCGUGUUCCAGAGAUGCCCCGUCUCAGAUACUGUGAAGGAAAAUAAGCUAUUUCUCAGCAUGAGGAAGAGGGGAAGAAAGGUUGAUGGGAGGCAUAGAUGGAAGACUGGGAAUAUAUGAGGAAGCAGCAACAGGGGAUGUGGGACAAAGAGAAAAGUUGGUAACAUACCAGAAACAUGAGGCAGUUGGGGGACCAGAAAGUGAAAGUGAUGGAAAACAGGAAGAAGGGGGGGCAGGCAGACCGGGGAAUCUCUAAUUUUAAGCAAACAUUGUGCUUCUCUGCAUGAAGAUGGUGCUAGGUGACCCCAAAAUUGUCCUGUCUUAUCCCUCUAUUUCUUACUUGUCUGCAAAGAAGUGCAAUUAAGCAUUUGAUUUCUCAUUUGCAAGCCAAACCUCUCCCCUUAUCUGCUGACUGCCAAUGAAAAACAUUCAUUCUUGUUGCUAGAAAAAUGUGCCGUAUCAAAUCUGAUGUCAAACCCAAUUAUUUUCACAGUACAUGUAACAAACUUUGUCCAGCUUGGUGGCAAACCUAUUUAUUGAGAAAGGAGUAGUGACAGUGAUGGAUUUAGCUCACACCUUGUGUUCCUGGUACUACUGCUUCAAACACCAGGACAGGAGGUGAAGUGCUUGUGAGUGUGGCACCAAAAUCUUUUUGUCCUGUGCUGUGAUGAUACAGUGCUGCUAGCUCUUGAUGUGCAUCUGAACUUAUCAACCCCAGAAGACAGAGAAAGGCUUUGCAUUUCCUUCAUGUGAAUGGAAGUUGUAGGUUGCCACAUUUUAUAAACUCAGAUCUGUCUCACUCCCACUAGAAGUUACCUUGUUCCUAGACGUGUAAUGGGCAAUCAUCAAUACACAGUUGUCCAGCACUUUGAAAUGAUGACACUCAAUCAGCUGGGUUAAUCACAAUUGUUGGUUGGCUUGUAUGAUUAAAAGACUCCUCUGCAUCACCAAAAAGGACAGGCACAGGGCUGUGUGUGGAACCCCAGUAACAUAAUCUGAGAGGAGCCCCUCAGCUGGCUGCUCCCAAACUGAUUUUUUUUGUAUUUAGAUAAAACCAACAUUGUAAUAUUUUUAAAUUAUUGUCACUUAAUUGCCUUAUUUCCCUCAUAAAAUCAUCUUAUUUCUACCUGUAUUUGCCUUCAAAUUCUGUUCACAUCACCCCAUAAAAUUCAAAAUUUAACAAGGUCAACUAGUUUUGAAAAUAAGAUUGUAUUUGUGCUAACGUGCAAAGAGAAUGGCUUGAAGAUUGCACCUUGAAAUGAACGCCUGAGAGGAAAACCAAUGCAUCGUAUUAACCGAACCACCAGAUAUCCUUAAAGUCUGGUCAUCCCCUGUCUGGAAGGAAGCCUAUCUUCAUUGUUAAAUGACCAGGUACAUUUCACCUUCUUCACUGGUUCUUAGUUUUAUACAGGUACAUUUCUUCCCUGCUGGUUUUUAUGACAGUAGCUCCUUUUGUUAUUCCUGGACCAACUUCCACUAAACUUCUACUAUUUAUCUAUUAAUAAGGAGCCUUAUCUUUUACCAGAAACCAGACAGCAAGUAUGCUAGGUGGUAUUUCCAGCUCCAGUUACAUGCUGAACAGAAACUAUGUGACCACUUUUGUUUCAAGUACAGUAAACAACAGCCACUGGCUGUGUCUUGUGUGGAAAUAAUAAUCUGUGUAACCCCAAGCUGAAACUGACCCCCAAAUACAUGUUUCCAUAACA